GCCAGUGUGGUGAAAUGGUAGACACGCCGGAUUCAAAAUCCGGUGCAGCGAUGCAUGCCGGUUCGAGUCCGGCCACUGGUACCA
rnacentral:tRNA from 1 species